rnacentral:rRNA from 1 species
AGCAGCCGCGGUAAUUCCAGCUCCAAUAGCGUAUAUUAAAGUUGUUGCAGUUAAAAAGCUCGUAGUUGAAUUUCGGGAUCAAUACGUCGGUCGUGCUUCGGUACGUACUGGCGUCAUUGGUUUCUCCCUUCUGACGAACCAUGAUGUCAUUAACUUGGUGUCAUGGGAAAUCAGGACUGUUACUUUGAAAAAAUUAGAGUGUUUAAAGCAGGCUCACGCUUGAAUACAUUAGCAUGGAAUAAUGAAAUAGGACGUUCGAUCCUAUUUUGUUGGUUUUAGGAUCAACGUAAUGAUUAAUAGGGAUAGUUGGGGGCAUUAGUAUUCAAUUGUCAGAGGUGAAAUUCUUGGAUUUAUUGAAGACUAACUACUGCGAAAGCAUUUGCCAAGGAUGUUUUCAUUAAUCAAGAACGAAAGUUAGGGGAUCGAAGACGAUCAGAUACCGUCGUAGUCUUAACCAUAAACUAUGCCGACUAGGGAUCGGAUGAUGUUAAUUUUUUAAUGACUCAUUCGGCGCCUUACG